CCGUGCUAGAUGGGGAGGUAGCGGUGCCCUGUAACUUGCAACCCGCUAUAGCAAGAUUUAAUUCCUUGUUUGAGGCCGAUUUUCGUGAGUCCGGCCGUAAUAAGCGGCGUUGAAGACCGGGUCUUACGCGACAAAAACUUAUAAACCCCGUCAGGUCCGGAAGGAAGCAGCGGUAAGUAAGAUCUUUUGUGUGCCGUAAGGGCGCCUGGUUAGAGUCGGCUGUUGCGGAACGUUCGGGGAAAUCCGGUCGAUGCAAGGUGCGCGG
rnacentral:SRP_RNA from 1 species